rnacentral:rRNA from 1 species
UAUACAAAGAAGAGUUUGAUCCUGGCUCAGGAUGAACGCUAGCGGCAGGCUUAACACAUGCAAGUCGA